rnacentral:rRNA from 1 species
UACGAAGGGGGCUAGCGUUGUUCGGAAUUACUGGGCGUAAAGCGCACGCAGGCGGUCUGCUAAGUUUGGAGUGACAGUUGGUGGCUUAACUGCCAAAGUGCUUCGAAAACUGACAGACUUGAGGGCUUCAGAGGGACACGGAAUUCCGGGUGGAGUGGUGAAAUGCGUAGAGAUCCGGAGGAACACCAAAGGCGAAGGCGGCGAUCUGGGUCGAUACUGACGCUGAGGUGCGAAAGCGUGGGGAGCAAACAGG